AUUGAACGCUGGCGGCAUGCCUUACACAUGCAAGUCGAACGGCAGCGCGGGAGCAAUCCUGGCGGCGAGCGGCGAACGGGUGAGUAAUACAUCGGAACGUGCCCAAUCGUGGGGGAUAACGCAGCGAAAGCUGUGCUAAUACCGCAUACGAUCUACGGAUGAAAGCAGGGGAUCGCAAGACCUUGCGCGAAUGGAGCGGCCGAUGGCAGAUUAGGUAGUUGGUGAGGUAAAGGCUCACCAAGCCUUCGAUCUGUAGCUGGUCUGAGAGGACGACCAGCCACACUGGGACUGAGACACGGCCCAGACUCCUACGGGAGGCAGCAGUGGGGAAUUUUGGACAAUGGGCGAAAGCCUGAUCCAGCCAUGCCGCGUGCAGGAUGAAGGCCUUCGGGUUGUAAACUGCUUUUGUACGGAACGAAACGGUCUUUUCUAAUAAAGAAGGCUAAUGACGGUACCGUAAGAAUAAGCACCGGCUAACUACGUG
rnacentral:rRNA from 1 species